UUGGAGGGCAAGUCUGGUGCCAGCAGCCGCGGUAAUUCCAGCUCCAAUAGCGUAUACUAAAGUUGUUGCAGUUAAAAAGCUCGUAGUUGAAUUUCGGGAUUAGUACGUCGGUCGUGCCUUAGGUACGUACUGGUGUUACUGGUUCCUACCUUCUGACGAACCAUCAUGUCAUUAAUUUGGUGUGGUGGGGAAUCAGGACUGUUACUUUGAAAAAAUUAGAGUGUUUAAAGCAGGCUCGCGCUUGAAUACAUUAGCAUGGAAUAAUGAAAUAGGACG
rnacentral:rRNA from 1 species